GGAAAAGAGAGAAAAUGUUACUUGAGCAAAGCCAGUGCAGGAGGAAGAGAUGCUUUUGUGCAAAGUCAGGGAGCUUUGGUCUUUUCAAACCCAAGCCCCCAUGUUAACCAACUUAAAGCAGACUCAGCUGUCAAACCCACAGAAGUGUCAAUCUGACUGUAUUUAAAAAAAAAAAAAAAAAAAAAGGAAAGAAAAGAAAAGAAAAGGAAAAAAACUGGGGAAGAAGGAAGGAAGUUAAGAGGAUUUGGGUAAAUGGCCAUCCAUCCUGGGGGUUAGGUCUGAACACUCUACAGAUAAGUGCAUAAUAAAAGCAGCUACAAGUAGAAUUAGCCCAGUUUAAGGAGACUCAGUCAUGUCUGUCUAGUAGACAGAUUUUCCACAGUCAGUUGCAUGAGGCUCUCCAGACAGUUGCCGAAGAGUACUGUGCCCUGAAAUGUCCUGAGCAAACUUGAAUCUUCUCCAGUAUAUAGCAGGUCCCCGUGCGAGUCAGUGGCCUGAAGAUACUUUAGCAAAGCUGCUGUGACACAGUGAUGUGUAGUACUAUAGCUUCUAGGUUUUUAAAGUCAGGAAAAGGAGCCUGUGCUCUUACGAGACAAAAUGUAGAUAAUCCCUUUUUAUAAAAGGGUCAGUUUCACCCUCCAUUCAGAAGUAAGUACUGCACUCCUUUCCACAGUUCACUUGUCAUCUGGUAUUGACUGGUUAAUAGUUAUUUCUCGUCCUGAUAUGCAGAAGUGACUGCUCGCAUUUUCUCUUGACAUGUGCGUCUUUGUUGUUGGGCUGCUGCUUUGCUGCUCAUCUCUCUUGCAGCCUGCCAAGAACUGCAAACUCCCAGUUCCCUCCCUGCACAGUGCUCUUUCACUAGCGGUACUUUAGGUGACUAGAGCUGUUGAUAUAAACAGGAGUGUGCACAGCAUCUGUCUCUUCAUGGGUCAAACAAAUAGCGUAUGUAUAAUAGUGGACUGUUUUUCAUUCUGAAGUGGUAUUUUUAAAGGGAUGAAGUCUAAUAGGAAUACGGAUGUGCACAGGAUGUGCACAAAGGACCACCUGUUAUAACUAUCACAAUGAAGCUUUAUGACCCAUGCCCAGCGCAGGAUGUUUUCAGCAUUUGGGAUCUUAAAAGUUUUACUAUGACUUACUCAGAAUAUUAAUAUUCAAGUCAGCCUACAGAUUAUAAGAUUCGUUAAUUCUAGUUUUCAUAUGCGAAUAGAGGCAAUGAAGGGUGUGAAGGGGAAAACACAAUUUUCUUGGGAUACAUUUUAUUUUGCCUCAGCUAUGUUUGUGGUGUCCUUGAAUUUUAAACUUCUGAGUAUUUUCAGACUAUCCAAGAAAAAGCUCUGAGUGAUACAAAUUUAGUUUAUAUAUGGUGACAGACUAGCCUGGUAAUAACAAGAUUGCUUCUAUAAUCUCAUUACAUAUUACUCUGUAUCAUUUAAGUUUAUUCAGAUAAGAGUGUUAACCAGACCCCAUUUUCCUUUGAUGAGCAAAAGUCCCAAGAAGCCUCUAGGACUAUAAUAACCAACCGCAGACCUGCUCCAAUUUUUAUGCCUAUAAUUUGACUUCAAAGUUUCAAUGGCGUGCUUAAUAGCAAAAAAGUCAAUGAAUAAUUGAAAGCUUUAGUUCCAAGAACUCGUUACAGUAAAGGAAGAUGAUUUUUUUUUUAGAAGAACAUUGAAACUAGAUAUGAUGGCCCAUGCUUGUAAUCCUAGAAUUCAGGAAGCUGAGGCAGGAAGAUCUCAGGUUUGAGGCCAGCCUGAAGUAUUUAGCAGCAAGUCCCAUGCUAGUCUCUACUGGACUAACAAUGAGAGCUGUCUGUUUCCAACUGUCUUAUUGUCUUUUAAUGUUCAAUUAAUUAAAAAUCUAUUGGACUUCCAUAUCAGGUGUCCCUGACAGCAAGUUCUUCAAUGUCACUUGCUGCCAUAUGAAAAUAAUCUUUAAAAAGUUCAUAAAGUUCUUCAAAAAACUGGGGCCCCUUGCUCCAGGCUCCUUCGCGCCUCUUCUCCUUCCGGUUUGGUGCAGAAUGGGUUGUGAGCUGUGUUUUUUUCUUUUUGUCCUCUUUUGUUACUAACAUUUUUCUUUUUCUUUUUUUCCUUUUUCUUUUUUAAAAUAAAAAGCAUAGAUUUCCCCUCCUUACCCCUCCUUUUACAAUGGUCUCUUCUCCGCUCUAAGUCCUCCCACUUCCUAGUUCAAGUUUCAUUUGUGCCCCGACUGCCCCCCUCCCUGCCCCAUUGCAUUGUUUGUGUGCGGCACCUGCAGUAGAAAAUCCCAGCUCUCCAGGUCGGUCUGGGAGCUCCUCCACCCUCCUCCUGUCUCAAAAAAGAAAAAGAAAAAAAAAGAGAGAGAAAAGAAAAAAGGAAAACAAACGAAAGUAAUCACUGAUAUAAUUUCUUGACUGUAGAAAUUUACUUUACCAAUAAAACAAAUGAGGAGGCUAUGUAAGCCCCAGUAGAUAUUUUGGAAAGAUAUUGGGAUGUUGCAGAGAAGUUUGACUUGAAUUUAGCACGUUAAGGUUCAUUUGAAAGGUCUCUUAGAGAAACUUGAUCAGCUCUUACGCCAGCACCAGGAAACUUCGUUUCACAGGCCUGCUUAUACUUCAUAAAUUGCUGUACUGGGGUGUCUGUUGAGGAAGGCAGCCUGUACUUCAUUUUCUCUACCCAGAGAGAAGUCCAUGUGUGUUAGUGUCUCUUCUUGCUGAUACUUGUGUAUUUGUGUAUUUGCAGACACAUACAUAUUCAUAUAAAUCAAUCGAUAUUAAAAGUCAAACAAUAAUUGUAGGUUCUUAAAUCCAUCGAUUCUGAACCAUGCUAUACGAAGACCCUUGAUGGUUCUCUUUCCCAUGUCAUUUUAUAAGAUUACCCUGGGCUCUGAGACUAUGCUGUGUAAAAUAUAUCCUGUUUUCUGUCAGUCUUGACUCCUUAAGGACUGCUGCCAGAUCCCCAGUCCAGCAACCCUUUCAUGUUAUACAAGUGAAUCAAAGUCCUUUCUAAAUGUAAAUACAUUUCUUUCUAUAUCAUAACAUUGAAAAUGGUGUCCAUACUUUAUGGUUACCUGUCUUUACAGUUUUUAUUACUAAACAAGCAUAUAAGUUGGUUAUUUUUUAACAGAGACUUGCAAUUCAUACUGUAUUUUUGCACUUAAAGUCAAAUUAUGUUAUUUUUAAAAUGGUGAAUAACUGGAAAGGAUAUCUAUAGAGCAGUGUGUAUCACUAAAGAACGUUAGCAACAUCCAAAUGCAGAAGUAAAUCAGCACACGUAGGUCCCAUUCGAUGGGGUCCUUGAUUCAGGAAUAUUAAACUGUCUGUUUCCAACUG
rnacentral:lncRNA from 1 species